GAUGAACGCUGGCGGCGUGCCUAAUACAUGCAAGUCGAGCGAACAGAUGAGGAGCUUGCUCCUCUGACGUUAGCGGCGGACGGGUGAGUAACACGUGGAUAACCUACCUAUAAGACUGGGAUAACUUCGGGAAACCGGAGCUAAUACCGGAUAAUAUAUUGAACCGCAUGGUUCAAUAGUGAAAGACGGUUUUGCUGUCAAUUAUAGAUGGAUCCGCGCCGCAUUAGCUAGUUGGUAAGGUAACGGCUUACCAAGGCAACGAUGCGUAGCCGACCUGAGAGGGUGAUCGGCCACACUGGAACUGAGACACGGUCCAGACUCCUACGGGAGGCAGCAGUAGGGAAUCUUCCGCAAUGGGCGAAAGCCUGACGGAGCAACGCCGCGUGAGUGAUGAAGGUCUUCGGAUCGUAAAACUCUGUUAUUAGGGAAGAACAAAUGUGUAAGUAACUAUGCACGUCUUGACGGUACCUAAUCAGAAAGCCACGGCUAACUACGU
rnacentral:rRNA from 1 species